ACGUAGGCAGCAAGCGUUGUUCGGAGUUACUGGGCGUAAAGGGUGUGUAGGCGGUUGUUUAAGUUUGGUGUGAAAUCUCCCGGCUCAACUGGGAGGGUGCGCCGAAUACUGAAUGACUAGAGUGCGGGAGAGGUGAGUGGAAUUCCUGGUGUAGCGGUGAAAUGCGUAGAUAUCAGGAGGAACACCGGUGGUGUAGACGGCUCACUGGACCGGUACUGACGCUGAUGCGCGAAAGCGUGGGGAGCAAACGGGA
rnacentral:rRNA from 1 species